CCCCAAACUCUCCGACACAGAGCAAGUAACUACACAGCUCGCCAAGAGAUGGUUAUUGUGGGUGUGCACCGUGCACAGAUGACGAAGUCCCGACACCCACUCACACGCACACCUGCCUGUUUUGGUCUUUUCAGCAACAUGCCUAGAGGUCUCAGUGCUUCCUUUGUUUCUUCACUGGACUGAAGUCAUGGCCCACCUCGUGGAGGAAGUGAGACAUUUUUUGCGAGGGUGGGGGAGAAGCUGGGGAGGACUGAAGAGGAUCCCUCAAGAUCAAGAACUUUCUGGUUCAUUCUCUGUGAACAAGGCAAUUUGAUAAUGACAGAAAUCAUAAAAGUGUUACUUAA